rnacentral:rRNA from 1 species
UGGGGAAUAUUGGACAAUGGGCGAAAGCCUGAUCCAGCCAUGCCGCGUGUGUGAAGAAGGCCUUUUGGUUGUAAAGCACUUUAAGCGAGGAGGAGGCUACUUAGAUUAAUACUCUAGGAUAGUGGACGUUACUCGCAGAAUAAGCACCGGCUAACUCUGUGCCAGCAGCCGCGGUAAUACAGAGGGUGCGAGCGUUAAUCGGAUUUACUGGGCAUAAAGCGUGCGUAGGCGGCUUUUUAAGUCGGAUGUGAAAUCCCUGAGCUUAACUUAGGAAUUGCAUUCGAUACUGGGAAGCUAGAGUAUGGGAGAGGAUGGUAGAAUUCCAGGUGUAGCGGUGAAAUGCGUAGAGAUCUGGAGGAAUACCGAUGGCGAAGGCAGCCAUCUGGCCUAAUACUGACGCUGAGGUACGAAAGCAUGGGGAGCAAACAGG